UGCGCCGUAGAUAUCUUGUCCAC
rnacentral:siRNA from 1 species